GGGAGCCCCUCGUUCCCCGCCCUGAGGUGGGGUGCGGGCCGGGAGGAGGCGCCGCCGCCAGGCCGGCGGAGGUGGCGCCGUGGGCCGGGGCGAAGCGUGCCGUCACCCCGCAGCGACGCCUCAGGGUACAAGAAAAAAGCUCAAAAGUCAAAUUUGAAAAGCAGCAGGGCCAGAUAAAUGGAACCUCCUUUGAAAUAACUUCCAAAACUGAGAUGUUCUGUGGACUCUUCUGGACUGGGCAGUGCUUUCACGGAGACCUGUGACCAUGGAGAGCUCGGCUGGAGGACCCAGGUUGUUUCUUUGGUUGUAUCUGUGUUGCUAAGUUGCAGCUGCCUCCUCACAAAGAUGGUCUUGCAGUAGAUUUUCUGCAUUCUUCUUUUGAGGAGUAGAAGAAGAAAUGCAAGAAGCAGUAUUUGAGCCGGAGAUUAAAUACUUAUUUCCUGAGUGUGAAACCUCUACGUUUGCUUUAUGUGUCAGCACAGAAUUCAGUGGCAAUGCUGAGUUCUCUGGGAUCUCGUUUGGAUUCAUCUGAACAUGAAAAAAAUUGUUGAAAGGCUUGUGCCCGUUGUCUUUUGUCCAUCCGCUGGAUACCACUGAGAAGAGUCUGGCUCCAUCUUUAUAUACAGUGGGAUUGAGUGCACCCUCACCAAGUCUGCAGAUGAUACCAAGCCGAGCAGUGCCGUUGAUGCGCAGGAGGGAAGGGAUGCCGUCCUGAGGGACCUGACGGGCUUGAGCAGUGGGCCCAUGUGAACCUCAUGAAGUUUCAGAAUUCUAAAAUCUUUUGGUUGCAAGGCCAAGUUUAUAGCCUACUGUGUUGUGUCUAGAGAGAAAAAAAAUCUGGAAUGUUGGGGACUAAUUCUCAUUUCAGAUGUGUAUUCUCCAUUGUGGUGAAGAAUUAGUCAAAAAUAAAGGUGGGGUUUUUUUCUUUUUUUUUUUCUCUCUUCUCUUCAUUUUGGAGAUGACAGAAAAUUGGAAGUUGCUGUGGGUUUGAAGUUCUGGUUGAGCCCCAAGUAAUAGUGGUCAGGAGUGAGUAAUGUUAAGACUGCUCUAUCAGGUUUGGGUCACUGAAGAGCCUCGUAUAUAGGGAUUAGUUUCCAGUGAUUGUGUAUGUUAGUUACUCAGCUGUUUUCUUCCACCAGUUAACCAGACGCUAUAUAGCUUUUAAAAAAUCAAUUUGCUCCUUAAAAUAAGACUAUCCUGAAAGUGUGAUCUUGCCAAGGCCAUUUCUGCACAUUUUGCAGGUGGCAUUUACCAGCAGUGAAUCAGAGUGUGCCCUAGGGUCUGGAGCUGAACACUGAAAGGUGUAAAACAAUUCAAGUUUUCACUGUCAUAUUAGGGUAAGCACUUGUGCUGAUCUGGGGACAGGAUUUUCUAAAGAGUCUAGGGAAGGUAAGUGCUACAAUUCUUUCUAAUUUCUGAGUUUCAGGUGCCUAAUUCCUCUAAAAUCUCUUAAAAAAGUGACUUUCAUGACUGAAAUCAUACAAUGAAUUAGAUGCCACUGAUUUCCAUUAAAUUCUGACUUCAGGUGUAGUAUUUGUAUAUAUAUACAUAUAAUUUAUAUGUAUAUAUGUGUAUAUCUAUAUACAGCUAUAAAACCCUUAUCUUUCCUCAGUGUUCUGUUCUCUCGAGUGGCAAUUUCAAUUGCCCGCCAAAGAUAAUACUUUGCUUUGAUAACUGCUAAUAAAAGUCUGUAUGCUUUAGUGAAUAUGAUUAAUAUGAAGUCAGAAUUGAUUAAAGAAAUGAAUGUAUUAUCAAGAGUGAAGAGUAAAAAAAUGAAUAUAUUAUCAAGAGUGAAGAGUAAAUAGAAAGUGGUGAGAGAACUGGAGUAUUGUAACACAUUUUUUUUCUAAAUAUUUCUACUAGAUAAAAGCCCAAAGGAGUUGGUCAUCCAAAUCAGCAGCAUACCACACUUUUGACUCCCUUUUUCAAGUGAUUUGAUGGAAACUGUAGGCUGAUUAAGGCUAUUCAUAACAAACUAAAGCAGGUCAUAAGACAUUUUGUACCAUAUUGUUUUAAGAUAGGAAGGGAAGGAGAAAUACUUAUUACUGAAAUUAUGAAAUAGCUUAUUAGAAACAAGUGCCACCCUAGAACCGGUUACCAUAAAAAUGCUUGGAUUGUGUGCUCCUUGUGGCAAGGAUUAUCUGUUGCAAUGUUAGGAAUCUGGGCUUGAUGACCACAAUUGUUCUUUUGAAAAACCGUGAAAUUUAAGAAGUAGUGUCACAUCUAUUCUUUCAUUUCUUUAUUCUCAGUGAUAAGGCUUUACAGGUAUCCUGCAGUAUGCAGCAAUCAGGGAAGCAUGUGUGAAACCAAAUGGGAAUACCGAUAAAUGCUUGUCAUAGGUGUCUGCCAAGGACACUCUCUGCAUGGAGUUCAGCUAAAAUGCUUUAUGUGGAGCAACUUGUUUUCUGUUUCUUCAUGCCAGUUCUACUCUGCGGAACUGACUGCUUGCACCUACUUAGCAGCAAACACAGAUGUAGUCAUUUGUGACUAGUGACUGUCUCAUCUUCCAUGCGAGAAUGAUGUUUUUCUAAUGUCUACUCAGUCUUAUGCUCACACUCCAAGCCAACUGGACACCAUAGUAAGCUCAGUGUUAACAUCAUUAGUAAGGGUGUUAAUACACCUUGCCUGUCAGCGCUGCCUUAACUGAUGCUACGCAGCUGUCGCGUCAUGUAAAUUGGCUUAGUAUGUGGGCAAAAUGAUUGUGUGUCAGCCUAUGCAGAUCAAUGCUUCUUAUCUUUGAAUCGUUGUCCUUACUACUACUGGGAGAAUUAUUUUACUCUUACAGUUUUCUCGAUCAUGAGUUUCCAAGUUUAUUUUCCGACAUGAAGAAAAAACAAAAACCAGCCAGGUGGAAUAAUGUAUUUCAACACAACUUAUGAAUUUGAUUACUUCAAGGAGAAGCAGGGGUUAAUUGCUCUGAAAUAUUAGGAUCAGUGGUAUGUUCCAGAUUUUCACAACGGUAAUCCAGGAAUGAUUUGGUUUCUUGCAUGAAUUACUACUCAGUUUAACAAAAGAGCCAUUCAAUAAAUAUCUGAUAGCUGUAACUAAUUGGUACUCAUCACUGAUGAUAACUUUUAGUAAACUAAUGUAAUUAAUGUAAAAUGUGUUUGACUUCUGAUGAAGCAUGAAAAAUUAGUAAAUCAAUUACAUUAAUAUUCAUUACUAAUCUGCUUCUUACAGUCUCUUCUUCAGAUAGUGGCAGCUAAUAUAUCAUCCCUUUUGUAUACUGGAACUGUUGGGAGUUGGUUUACCUUUAAUCUCAUUACAGGUACCUGGAUGACAUAGCAUUUUGUUUGUAAUAACUCUCUGUAGGUUGGAUCAUUAUUAUUUGUGUAAUUUCAGCUUAUCUCUAUGAUAAAAUUCCCAUAUUUUCCCAUGUUUUUCAUUCACAGUUAGAAGGCUGACCUUUUCUUUGUUCAGGAACUCACCAUUAAACUUUCUUUGGCACACCUAGUAACUGUCACUUCUGCUUUUCUGUUUGUUUUUUUUUUUUAAGCUGUUGCUCCAGAUUGCUGGUUCCCUGAAGCCAAAUAAGGGAGCCCCUGUAAUGACCCCAGUAGAUCUCGGGAUAAGUGUUCAUGUAUGAAACCUAUAAAUUUGCUAUAAAGGUGGACCAACUUCCUAACCUUAGGGACUUACAGAAGAUGUUUGCAUAGCAGAGAACUGCAACGUUCUUGUCAUGCGCUUGGAACAAGUGAAUCUAGAAGCUCUGGAAGUAACUCGUUUCCAGAAGAGGGUAGUGAUUUUUCAGAGAUCUCACUGCAUCACUGCACAAUAGAGCUCAGCUGGACAUGCAGCUGACUCCCAGGGGAAUCCGUGAUACCAGUUUCGUGAAAUUCUGCUGAUUGUACUUCUCCUGUAGCCAGGGGGUUGGACUACUUAGCAUUUUCUGUUCCUUAGCAUUCCCUGUCCCUACUUGGCAUUCCCUGUCAUAACUGGUUAUUUGAAGAAGCUCCAGUAAAGGACCUACUGUGAAAUGUUUGCUAGGCAUGUGUGGCUCAGAUGAUUGGCAAUCUAGGACGUAUAGCUUUUUUUGCCAAUGUAAUACCUGUAAGUAGUUUGAGAAUUAUUCUUAAAUCAGUAUUUGAUUAUGUGUUAGCAUCUUUCAUUUAAUCAAAGUUGUUUCACCGCAACCCAUCACAACAGGUUUGGUCCUUAUAAUUUCAGAGAAGCCAGAGUAACAUGUGCUUUCAAAGUAAUGCUCCCAUUAAUUCUUCUACUGCUGUCAAAAGAUGUCAUGUUCAACCUGAUUUUUAAGCAAUCUAAACAUACUCGUAUUCACUAACAUAUUCAGUUCUUCUGAGAAGGAUGCAGAUUAUGUUGUAAGACAUAGCAGUUUCUUUCACGACAGAUUCAGUUCACAGUGUGUAAAUUUGUUUAAGGAAAUUAAUUGGGCUGGUUUGGACUUUCUAACUUCAAGACAGCAAAAAGUUUACAAGUUUUGCAACCAUCCGAAUGGACUUUGUUCUUAAGUCUAGCAGCUAGUAGGUUUUUAGUUCUGGGUCAAAUAAAUCCAUGAACUGAUGUAAAGCUUGACACUGAAACUUGUAUGCUUCCAAGAGACAUGAUGAGUUCAUCCAAUAGCUCACCGCUACCGAAACUCUCCUCUCUGUCCCCAUUCCUGAUCAUAUGAUUCUUCCUUCUCAUUUGCACAAGCUGUGGCACUAGCUAAAUCUUUUUCUGAGCCAAUUCUACUCCUUAGGAUUAUCUGCUUCCUCUUUUCCCUAUGCAGAAGUGGUCAGAGAGGACUACAAGCGUAUGCCUGCACUGUUGUGACAGAUUUUAGAAAGAAUUUCUGAGAUUUGGAAGACUGGUGCAGAGUGGAGUGUUACUUGGUUUCAUAUUCCUCACUCCCAGAGUAGUUCUGCACCUCAUGCAAUUAAGCAUGGUUUUUUUUCUUGUUACACAUUCCAAAAACCUCUGCUUUGCUAAAUGAUCCAUUAAAUUUAAUAGGAGAGCAGUACUGCUUACCAGCUGGUGACUGAUUUGCCUAUGUAAAAUGAGCUCCUAGUAAAUAUUCCAAAGGACAGAAAAAAAAACCCUAAUUGAUAAAAGUCUUCUUGAUAGGCAUAGAACUGAAGAUCCCAGAGGGGAAGGAAUUGCAUUUAUUGUUUACGCAUUUCUAUUAAUGUCAGUGACUGCUUCAUUAAUGUAUUUUCAAAGUAAGUAUGGAGAAAAAAAAUAAUCUGUUUUUUAAAUUCAGAUCAAUCCAUUAUGGUGAACUUUAAAGGAACAGCUGAGCCAGUCUAGUAACUGCAACUUCUGGAAAGGGGGUGUCCUUGCUCUGCUUCCAGCUACACAGUUCCACCCGCUCCUUUGUACCAGCUUUAUUGUUUUGCUGGACCUUUCUGUGAUUGAUUCGACUUAGUAAUGUAGCCCAAGGCUGCCUACCCACCUAGAGCCGGGGUAACCGAGCUACCAUUGAGUGUGCAGCAGGAGCAAGGCAGCCAUUCACCAGCGGUAAGCCUUUAGAUCUCCUGAGUGUGUCUUAUGUGAGUUCAGUCGAGGCUGUUGUUUUUUUCUAGACCACUGUGGCUGUGCAAAGGCAGGUGACAAGAUCGUUUUAGCACAGUACCGUAGCCACGUAAAUCUUUGUCCUGGAUUCAGUUGCUUGGGACAAGGACUGCGUUCUCAGUACACUAUUUUGCAAAAAAAUAGGUGGAGUAGCAUGUGGAUAUGUGUGGUCCUGUCACAUUUCCCGUGUCAUGAUGCGAAAAGUCUAUUUUUGACUCACAGUUCUUCACUAGGGUCCCUGUUGAGUGAUGUUCUGGGACAAAAUGCAGCCUUAAUGUUAUAAUUCCAUGGGUGACUCCUAGCUUUACCAGCAUAGUAAAUAAUUAUUAAUGUUAGAAGAUAAGGAAGGAGAACCCAUAAUGUGAUUUGGAUAGAUCUGGGAAUAGGGUAUAUUGAAUAAUUCUCAUUUACUUUUACAUUUCUAAUAGAAUGCAAAAUUUAAUACUGUAUAACGCGGACAGAUUCUGUAGCAUGUUUCUAAUUUAUCACUCUCUAAAAUGUUAUGGCAUUAAAAUUAUUAUGAACAAUAAUAGGUUAUUAAUUUAUCUUUCCCACUUAAUUUAUGUCAAAAUGUUUAUGCAUAAGAGGAAAUAGUUUAAUCGUAACUACUUGCAGAUAAGAUACUGUAAUGAGAUACACUGAUAGGUGUAAGUAAACCCCUCCCACUCUGAUACAUUAACAUAUAAAAAAAGACAUUUCUCUUUCCUCAAAGGAGGUAAAAACAGAGGUAAGAAAAAGAGGAUAACUCUGGGUUAGAAUUCUUACUUCCAGCACUGCAUCAGGAAACAAAAGCUUGGGGCUACAGCGUCAAGGAAUUUAGAGGAAAAGAACAAGUAGAGUUCAGCCAAAGAAACAGUCCAUAGCUCUAAAUGUUGUCAGAACUAUUUUUUAAAAGCAGAAUGUUUGGGUUGUUUUUUAAAAAAGGGGAUCCAGAUAACUGGAAGUAAAGUUUAGUCAUAUUGAGCAAAGGCUUUUUAUUGGGCAGAACAGGGGUAACUGGGAAAAAAAGUCCAAAAUGAAGGCAAAGACGUCUGUAGCAGAAUUGUUGACAGCAAAGGCAAGGAAGUUUAAGCUCUGUCAUCUGUGCUGUUGGCCUUACCUUUGUGUGGUCUGGGGAACUAGCUGGAAGUGUCUUCCCUUCAGCACUUCAGUUACGGUGUUUGAAGCAUUCCAAGACAAGGUUAAACUUCCAGACGGAUGAAACAGAAGUAACGGAAGUGAUAUUAAACCCGGAUUAAACAUACUAGCUCUCAGUCGAUACGACGUUCGCGUACCCUGUCUCAUUUCUUUCUGGAUCCUAGUGGCUCUUGGAUCUCAUCUGGCUAAGUCAGCUCUUAGGUGCUUGCUUUAUUAUUUCAAGUACACAUUCUUAUGACAUUGAAAGAUUAUUUGUAGGAUGCGUGAAACAUCGUUUGAGUCAGUUGUUGCAUAUUUAGCAUGAUACCAAUUUACAAGUUUUAGAAUAAGCUGUCUUCUCAAGAACGUAUUGUAUUUCUGCAUGUGUAGUAAACUGAAUUGGCUCUCCACGGAGUCAGAUGAGCCCCAGUGCUGACAACAGGUAGUACCUCAAUGUGUGUGUGACUGUGUGGGAGGAGAAUGAGGAAUUAGACCUAUGUAUUUCACCCAGAUAAACGAAAGCCUAAGAUUAAACUGGAAAGGGUCUCUUUCUGUUUCAUCCAAUAGUUGUCAGGGGUUUCUGCCUUGGCGCUUGCCCGACAGCUCAUUUUCCUCACGUUAACGUGUGGGGCCUUAGCCAAGGGAUGCCCUGAAUCCGAGUGCAGCAUGUUAACCCUUAUACUCGAUUUCUUCUUGAAAAUAGUCCUGGAAUUCAAGAUUUAAUCUUCUCCUGAAAUGAAAACUUACUUUCCUCCUUUUUCAGACCAUUACUGUCUAAUCAAAAUGAGCAAGUGUCUUUUUGCUAGUCCCGGUGUUCUCUCUUGUACUUGACUGGCCAGUGAACAGCUCCAUUUCUCUCUGUGACUGGUUGUACGUGUUUUGUGGUGAAGUGUGCUCCAUGCUGGGUUUUGUAUUCUGUUACCAUGCCUGUAUAGAAACAAACCCAAUGGAAACAUCUACAUGUGACAGGUCUGCGUAAUCUGCUACUGUUUCUUGCCUACAUGUAAUAAUGAUGAACCUCUUUGGAGUGAUAAUGUGGUGUGAUUUGUUCCUGAACUUCUCCAAAGCAUAAUGUAGUAAAAGGGAAGUAACCAACUGUUUGCCAUACAAAAAUGAGCUUCAUGUGGGCUGUUCUGACUUAUUUCUUCAAAUACUAUUCUGAGAUACAAGCUUUCCUGGGGAAUUUUCAUCUGGAGUGCGGCAAGUGGUUUGCUGAUGCACAGCAGCCAGCAAAAUUAACCUGAUGAGCUGACUGUGUUGAAUGACAUACCAGUUCAGAGAUAGAAAAUUGUGCCUUUUUAAUGUUAAGGAUGUUGCACUUCAUUACAGACUAAUGAGACAAUGAAAUUGUUGUUAUUACAGCAUCAGAAAAUGAAACUGAAUUGAAAAUUGAUCCUAAACUUGCUGUUGAAAUAAAGUAUUUUUUCAUUUUUCAUUUUUAUUUUUUAAAAUUGAGUGUGUGAGUCUGCAAGAUAGUGAGGAAUUUGUUCUGAUCACUGUUAAAAUCUCAGUUUUCUGAGAAUUAGAAUCACCAGAUGAAGUUUACUGUAUCUCAUUUGAAUUAAUCCAGUUUUGUUCAGCAGCAAACAGAUUUUUCAUUAAUAUCACAGUUUUUCUCUAAGAACCAACGGAAAUACAUUAUUUUUUAUUAUAAUUUUACAGAAGGGUAAGCAAUUAGAGCUUUUCUUGUUUUCAACAGCUAUCUAGAUAAAAACUACUUAAAUUAUUGACACAGUAUAAUGAAAUACAAAUAUACCCCUUUGCUAUCUAUAGUUUUUGGCAUUCCCUCAUCAGUCAUUUAAUACCACGCUUCAAUGACUGUCAUCAUUACUGUCUUUUUCUGUCCUUGACCUUUUAUUGAGUUGAUUGACUUUAAUUGAUUAGCAAGAACUAAAUGUUCUACAAAUGUUCGGUUUUGUAGAUGAAGCAGAUGAGUUCUUUUGGAAUACCAGCCUGUUCCGAAAAGCCAGCUGCUGAACUUCAGCAUCUUCUCCAGUUGAUGCUCAUGGUGAUCCAUCCUCCAUGUCACAGGCACAUGAUGCAUUGCUCAGCUUGGAGAAAAGACAAUCUUCAGGUUUUUGAAUCAAUUAGGUAUGGUGGGAACGGUUGCCCCCAUGAUAACACUGUCUACAUUCAGAGAAGGAUCCGUUCAGUUCUCUCUAGAAGAAAGUCCCUGAAAUAGUGGGUGGCUGCAAGAUGCUCUGUGAAGGUGAAGCUGCGAAAUACUGGUCACACGCUGCUGUCCCUUCCUCUGUGCGGGUCUGGUGCUUGUCAGACUCUCCUGUGAGAUGUUUUAACUCACUAGCAAGGCCGAAAACUGACAUUUUUUGGUUUCUGUUAUUUUACUCCAUUAAAGACCCUCAUGGAAAGGUCCAAAAUCCACCACGGACAGCAGAAGACAUGAGACAUGCUGGGGACAGGAAGGUGAGGGGCAGAAGGGAGCAGAAGCUCACUUUUGGGGAGCAGUGCACAUCACUUUACCUUAUCUUAUACUGAGGCAUCUCAAAAUUGGAUCUUCAAAUCUAAACUCUCUUUGUAGUCUGUGAAGACAGACGUCUCCACACCAUGAUUCAUCUUGUAAGACAGAUACCUACGACAAGUUGUAGGAAUAACCUUUUUAAUGACUUUCUCUCCAUGGUUUACAAGGGGAUCUUGUAGGUGAAUAGAGUAUUCACGUUAUCUCUAAAAUUAAGAGAGAUUAAGUGUUAUUUUCCUGCCUUUCAACAAGUCUUAGAGUAGGAUUUGAGAUAACAUUUUCUUUCACAAUGUAUUUUUGGGGAGGCUAAAAGCGCACACGUGUUCAGUUACCCCAGUUUAGCUGGUGAGUGGUCGGUCGGUGGCUGUGAGCGACCAGCAGCGUGAGGUCACUAGUCCAUACCCUCAGUCUCUGCUGAUGCCGUAGUCCACAUUGGCAGGGAGAACAAUUUCUGAGGUUGACUGCUGUGAAUUUCUUGUUUAUUAUUGUUGCCCUAGGAACAAGUUUCAAUGGGAAUAGCGUAUGACAAAUCAGAACUGUAUUAUGUUAAAAGACAUCUGCAACAGUUGCUGUUGUUGUAAAGAGCUGUCGCGGAUCAGGUGGAAGAGCAGAGAUGAUGGGCAAGUGCAGGAGCACUCAGCACAGCUGUGUGGUGCAGGGUAUGGGCAUGACAUUGAUUACAAUUACUUCGUAUCUUAGAAGCAAACUUUAACAACGGUUCUGAAACGGAGCUGAACAAAAUUUGGUUUGUUUAUACUUCCUUACCUGUAAUCUGUCUAUAUCUAAGGCUUUCUGUUCAUCCAUGUUGCCUCUUCUGUCCUGGAGUCCUGGUAGAGAGGCGGUUAUUGUGCUGUUUAAACACUGAUCUGAAGACUUGUACAUGGUCAUGGCCUAAUUCAUAAGGAGUUCACAGACCAGAGCUCUUCGUGCUUCGUCUGCCAUAUAUGCUAUUGGCUGGGGUCAUACACUGAGAAGCUUGGAGUGGAGACUUUUUUUCACCAGAAGGAUCUGCAUUACUUUAACUGAUCUGCAGUUAUAUAGACAACCACCAUGAUGCAGAUGAAGGAAUACAUGGGAUGAAUUCUGGUUUUACUAAAUACCUCAUAAGUAGAUUCUAGAUGAGAAUUACCAUGGUCUGCUAUUUCUAUCACAAGUUUUACGGUAUCUUGCUAACUAGGCUACGGCAGUCUCAGUAACACAGACACGAGAAUGUCAGACGCAUUGGCUCUCAUAAGCCCUGAUACAGACACAGAGAACUAGAAGACCCUGAAAAACACCAAAGAAUCAGCCUGAACCACAAGCAGAGGACAAAACCCCUGCAUGGGGUGAAAUCCAGUAAAUAGAAAUUGAUACAGUGGAAUGUAACUUCAGCAUAGGUGGGUAGGGAUGUUUAAAUAACUUAAUGACACUAACAUUUUUCCAGCCUUUCUUUGUUUCAUGGGUUAAGUGCCUUUCCUACCACCUUGCCUGCACCCUGACCGCUGUUCAGCUGUUCUGCACACCACCUGGAACCGCUUCCCUAUUUCUGUGAUCCUGAUUCAGAAGUGAUUCUCUGCUUUGUAUAUGUUGGCAACAACUACCUGUGUUCGUCACAAUUUCCUCCAGACUGCCUGACUUCACUUCCAAAAAGAAAUAGGGUUAUGAAACCAAGAUGGUAAUAAGACCAACAGAAGAGAAACUUUGCUAAUGACAGAGGACCUUCAAGGUUGAACGAAGUUGCAACAUAAGUGUGGGUGGUCCGGCCCGCUGGGCAGUGGGAGUGCGUGCAACAAGCUUUAUACAACUGUACGAAGUCAGACAUGAAAAAAUGAAUGGAAUCUAGUGCCAGUGGUCACAGACAUAUCACACAGUGUCCUGCUCCAUCCACUGCUGAUAAACAUGACAGAGGCAAGGUGGGUUACUGGUGAGCAACAGUCAUUUCCAUGCGGAGACUGCAAUUGUAAAGAAGACAAACUCUGUUUUUGGACAAGUCAGACAGCUUUGACUCUCAGACAGUGAUCAGCUUCCCCACUCUCACACAGUCAUCAUCCACAGCCCCAGCAAACAUGGAUCACUCCUACUGUUUCGGGCACAGUGCUGAAGGUUUGCUUCUCUGAGCUGGAGAGAGAGAGAGAGGAGGUAGAAAGGUUGUGCCAGCCUCGCCUCAAACUGGGUGCCUUCUUAAAAUAGGCCUAUGGAAUGCAAAAGUGCUCCUAAGCAAGACACAGUAAGCUGCCCAAGAUGCCAAAAUGAUUUGCUGUGACCCUGCUCCACUAGAAGUCAGUCAGUGCAGCUUGCCAAUCUGGAUGAAUAUUGCACUGUCAGUGACAUAUUUCCAGUGAACGCUGUAUCUUUCAACUUGUUGCAGGACUGAAAACAUGACAUGCCUUUGGCUUCUAGGCUAGUCUGUUCACACAAAUUCUAUACAACUGGGUAUGUCUGACCUUCCCGACACUGAUAUUGUCAAGUUUCUGGAAUGCAAAGAGAACAUAAACUUCAGUAGGCACUGAGAAGUUACCUGCUGCUGCAAUGGAUUGACCUUUCCCAGCCUUUGUAAGUGUUUAUCACAUGUGCAUGGACAUCUGGAUUUCCUGGCAGGAAUAUUUAGAAUACAUGCAAACUUUGCUGGAGUGCACUGCUUAUCCUGGAGCUGAUAGUGUUUCUCUAGGUGUGUAAAUCCGUGCAUUUUGUGUAAAUCACUUAGCUGCUGAGAUAAGCAAGUAGGUUACUACUCCCAAGCAGGAGUAGUUGGCUCCUCGGAGCCAGCUAGCUCCUGUUCCUAGUUACAGCCUCUAAAAUCUGUUUACAGGGCUGUUUGUGUGACACUCCCUAGUCUUUUUUGGUCACAAUGAGCCGACUGAGCAACAUCUUAUCAUUCAUACUUUCUAUUCUGAUCCCAUCUGAGCUUGUUUUACUAUGAGCUUUACAUGCAAUAUGGAGCAUGUGAACAAACAUACUGCUCCAGGGAAGACAGAGUUCCUUAUAUUCCAAAGAUUGGCCGUAUGAUAAACAUUACUUAGUUUGAAUCUGAAUGAAAAAUCCUGCCUUAAUGCAGGAAUGCUAUAAAUGCAAAAAUGCCAUAAAAGCAUUUCCUUAUAUAGUAAUUUGAAGAAUUCAUUCUGGUUCUUUUUCUUUGCCCUUAAAAAAAAAAUCACUCUAUGGCAGCUCUGAGUCAUUUCAUGUUAUAAAAAGAUGGGUUAUUUAUGUCAUUCUGUGUAUCCAACUAGCCCCAAGAUGUGGAAACUUAAUGAACAGGCUCAAGCAGCAAAAAUCUUUACAAAGUUUUUCAGAGUUUUCCUCUAAUGUUUUUUCACAUGAGGAAAGGACACACACAUAACAGAGUGCUAUGGGGCAUAACCAACACAUAAUUAUGGUCUGUGAGCAAUUGGAAGGCAGUCAAGGAUACCGUGCUGAGUCUACAUUCCCAAUGUUGUCUCCUGCUCCCUGCUAUAGCAUUUUUAAGCAGAUGGAGGCUGAAGUUUCAAUCAGUAUUGAACACCAUAGAUGUGUAAAUUGUGUCAUUUACGGUCCACUGCCCGCAUACUGCCACAUAGUUCUUUAAAAAUACGGUCAGGCACAUUCAGGCCAGUGUGAAAAGUAGUUAAGAUGGUGGUGUUCCUCCUUUGUUGUCAACAACUCUGGAGGUGCUUGUGGUUGGGACAGGAAACCGAUAAUUUCUGUGCCAGAGCAGCCGUCUUGUUUCUAUAGUCAUUGCAAAUGGAACUGGAGCCUAUGUAAUCCCAAUUUUUCUGGAGCACAGAGAAUUCACUUGAGAGAGUUCAUAGAUCAACAUUGGCUUCCAGGACUGUGCCGUUCAGUUUAAAUGCAGAUUCAGCAGACCUUAAAACAAGUGAAAACAGCUUGGCUGACAACAGUUGCAGACUUAGUGAAAUGACAGGUGGGAUGAAGGAACUCUUGCCUCAGUAAAACAAGGUAUUUCACUAAUCAGCUACUAUAACUGUGAGGGCAUGGUCUUUUGUCAGCAAAGAAACAACCAAGACAGCUUUUGGGUAAAUGCUGACUCCUGAAAAGGAUAGAUUGGACAGGUAUGAAGACAAGUCACUGACUUGCAUCCUUUCAGGAGUAAGGAAAGUUCCUGCUUUUUUUUUUUUUUCCCCAAUAGAACAAAAGGUUAUUUUAUUUAAAAGAAAAAAAUGUUGAAAUAGUUGAGUAAUUCACUUAGUUUGUGAAACCAAAAAGCAGCCAAAGACUUCUGCUUGAUCAAUAAACUAGUGCUUUUCUUCAAUUCUAAGUCUGACAUAUUCAUAACGGUGCAACACAGAUUAGAAGUACAUUAGAGUUUAAAGAUUUAGUCUCUCUACAUCUCUGUGAAUGUUAAAUGUAAGAUUUUUAAUUUUGUUUAAUUAUAAGCAAGAUCAUAAUUCAAAAACUAUACAAGACUGACCAAACCUGGUAUCAGGGUGUUUUGAUGAGAACUUUUGAGCUUUUGACCUUUAUUUUUUCAUUCUUCAACAAGAGGCAAAGCCUUUUGAGUGUUUCUCUGCAUAAAAUGUCUGCACUUGAAUCAGAACUCCUUGUUUUGGUACUCUCUGAGCAGAAGAGAUCCAGCAGCCCAGACAUCUCUCUCAGUAGAAACUUGGGAUCCUAACAGAAACAUUUCACCCACAAUGGGACUUGAUGAAUGACAGCACUGGAAGUUUGUCAGUCAGCUGCAACUGGUAUUGCAACUGAGAUUUGGGGAGAGGGGAACUGGUAAAUUUGGUAUAAACCAUCUUUGCUAAAUAAGGUUCUUCCCUACUCUGCCAUCUUCUCACAAAAGCAUGUAUUUCAGGAAGUUCUCAUUCCCAUAUAUUAAAGCCCUCCUAAAAUAUAAAAAUCAGGUCCAUUUUAACUUGUGUGUUUACCUUAAAAAAUAAUGCAUUUUAAAACUUUCUCAUUAACUACAUUUCAUCAUUGCCAAGUCUGUGCAGACUAGCUCCUGCUGAUCUACAAUCUUUUCUGAGGGUUUCAGUGCAAGCUGUAUGAAUUGUUACAGGCUACAGUCUUGAGUAUCUGUUGAUUAAAAUAUUAAAAUGGAUAUGUUCUUAAAUUCUAGUAUCAGAAAUGUAAUUUGCUGAUGUCUAGUAAGACAAUUGGUAACACGUUCAGUGUUUCAGACAGUAAAACCAAGACUGUCCCUGCUGCAGAGUUUAAUACUUACAAAAAACCCCCCCAUAUAUAUCAGUAACAGGAAACUACUGUUGUGCAAACACUGUUAUAUCCUCUGCAGUAAUUAAGAGGUCGGAAAUACUUAUGAUUUUACUCACAUGUGCACAGGCAGACACAGACACAUCCACUUGUAUGAGAGUUUAAACGUCCCUAGAAUUCUUGCAUUUUUGGCUCAAUUUGAUUCAGUUGCAAGCUUUGAAUACCCCACCUAACUUGCGGGAAAUCCUUUCUCUGUGUUUACAGACCAUUUUUUUAGUGUUUACUUCAUGCAAACUGAGAACAAUAGUGGCUUUUUUUUUAAUGCUUUUUAUCUUUUGGAAUUGUUAGAGGUCCCACAGUUCUGCUGUCACUAGGUCACUUCGCAGAUAGUUUAGCUUUUCCCAGUUGCAUGUCCUGGAAUGGAGUAACUCUGCUUUGAUACUUAAAGUCAGGCUUCAAAGGCAUCUAGUUUUUAAAGCUGGCUGAAGCGUCGCGUCUUUUUAGAAAAGGUAAAACCAAUUUCCUCUUUUAGACACAGCUCUUUCAGCUGGUACAACUUUACCAGAACACCGUAGCUAGCUUUCCCAAGGUGCACAGUAAUGGCAGAGGGAUGUGGUUUCGGUCCUCGCGUCUGGUCACACGGCAUCCUGUCCCGUGUCCUGUAUCCUGUCCCGUGGAUGACGGGGACGUGCCUCCGCGCUGGGGGCACAGAACGGCGGGAGCGGAGGCACACCCCCGCUACAGCCACCCCCCCACAGGGCCCGUGGCUUCCGAAGCGAUGGCUGGUGUGACAGGGAGCAGGGCUGGUCCCGUCUCAGCUCGGGGUUUGAGGGAGUCAGCAAGUUUAGGCGAUCCAGUUUAUCUCGUUGUAUCUUGGAUUUGCAAAUGAUUAAGAGCUCUUUCCAGAGCACGUUAAAAAAUUCCACAUAAGAUCUAAGUAAGGGUGUUGUUUGGCUUCUCAUGUUUGUAAAAACCCGGGGUCUAAGUAUCCUCAUCUGAUCUGGCCAUCACAGACGCUCUUUAUCCCAGGGACUUUGUAGUUUAUGUUGAAUGAAAUAUAGGCAUACGUAGACACAGAAACAUAUCACUUGGACACCUAGAUUGUUUAUAGAUCACUUUUUUUUUUUCAUUUUGAUUUUUAAUUGGAUUAUAAAUGCCAGUGUAUUGUAAUGUGAAUUUGGCUAGAAGCUGAUGAUGUGAUGUGUACAGAUGGUGAAUGGGGAAAUGUUUCUAUUCCGAAGAGCUUAACGUUGAUAAAAGAACAUUUACAAGUCAUGCCAUACAUAUAACCUUGCAAGAAAGAAUUUGUUCAAAUUUUUUACAGUUAUUUAUUGCGAGUAGUCAUAUGUAUUGUGCUAGAACCCAGCUCAUGAAACAGAACUUUGCAUUCUUUUUCAUUCAGGUGUUGAUGAGCAGUACUAUGCCAUUUGUCUAGGAAAAUGAAAGGUGAUCUUAAAGACUUUCUAAACCAUUAGUUCUUCACUAGAAGGUAACUCAUGUAUUUUCUAGCAAAAUCUAAAGAAAUAGCUGGACAGCUAAUGUGUUAGGGUGACCCAUGUCUUUCGCUUGUAGUUCAGUUUAAUUACGAGAGAGAAGCUUCCUUCUAAGAGAUAUGUUAUUUAAAAUAUAAUACAAUAUAAUGAACAUAAUAUACAUUAUUUUUACUGCAUAAAAAAAAACCUUAGUAAAUGCUGCUAGUGGCUUUUUAAACCUGAUGUGCUACCUACUUGAGUUAUGUCUUUGCUUGGGUGGUAGUGGCUGGGGAACCUUUUUCCUUUGUUGAAGCUUUUCCCUUUAGACAUGAUAUUAUGGGGGUUCAAGUGUCUUAACUGAUUUUGAAUCUGGUCUAUUAUUUCUGCCAGGUUAUUUUUCCUUGUUUGUAGCAUUUUGUAAGUGUGCUCGGUAGACCCAAAAUCUAGGUCUUGUGUGGUUUUGCACAGACGUACUCUGCUGGUGUUUCUGUUGUCUAUUCAAUUCUUCAUUACCAAGUCUGCGGCAAUGCCAAACAGUAGUGAAGAGAUGUAUCCGGUAUCAACCUAGUGAUUCCACAUGGAAAUGUUCUGUUAUCUGGUGGUUAAAACCCUACAGGUCACUUUACACAUCUGAACGUGAUGAUAUUGAUGGCCAAACUGGAAUUCCAUAGAGCUGAAAGUCCACGCUGUAUGUCUCUGCAGGAUAAUGCCUUCUGAAAAGAAACAAAAUAGGUGUUGGGGUUAGCUGAUUGUUCUGUGCAUACAUCUUUGAAUGUUCUUAGGGGGAAUACCUGCUAAUAUACAGUAUGUUUAAUAUGCAGUAAAAAGAAUAACAGUGUCUCUGUUUUCAACUUCCUGUGAGCUUUGCAUGCUGCGCAUGACGCUGUUGCAUCGUGCAGCAGAAGGCUCUUUGUGCAACAGGGAUUAUCAAGAUUUCUCUCCAGUCGCACUUAGUGAAAUAUCCUUUGCUAGAUGUUCUGUCAAAGGUUCCAGGUUUCUUUCAGUGAGCAGUGGCCCCUUUUUCAGGUUUUACUCAACAGUUCUGAUGGUAGGGAGGCUGUUUUAAAAUCACUGUUCUGACUUGAGUUUAUCCUUUUGCUUCUCUGUUUAUCAGUUUCUUGAUUAUAGUCUGUAUUUCUCAUAUUUCCAUUGGACUGAUGGUUCAUGUAUUUCACCAAAAUCAAGUAAUGUGCUGAGUUAGUGGACUGUGAGAAUUCCUUUGAAAUGCUGUGCCCAUCCACUUAUCUGCUUUAUCUCAAUUAUGCGUAAAUUGGUGCUGACUGAAUAAUGGGAUGUUCCCAACACAUAUGUGCAACCUGACCUCUCUCACAUCUAAUGAGUCCCUGACUCCUUCAAGACUAUUUUAAGUGUUUGGGUUACACUGCUUCAAACAGCAAGCGGAAAUGAACUUGCAACAUGAUGCUUUCCAUGGCAUGCUUAAUAAACGGCUCAUAACUUCAGAUAGGCUCACCCAGGUAAUGGUGCAAUACAAUGGAAUCUUACUUGGACUGUAAAGCGUAUCCUUCUGUCCAAAGCCUGAAACUUUGGAUGCAUCUCCAUCACAGAGUGCAGCUUUACAAAGCAAAGCUGGAGCUGGUUCCGAUUAAGCUGGUAUGUCUACAGAGGGCAGCUCAGUGCUGUACAGAGAUACCAGCUUUGAUUCCCAAAGCAAUAUAAUUACAUCAGCGUGGACUCUGCUCUCAAUAACAUAUCUUGCUUCCCAGUAAGAAUAAUUACACAGCGACAGAGCUCUGCACUGAGGUAACCACAAUGCUGACCUCUUAGCUAGUUAGUUUUGAAUUUGCAUAAGUAUCUUGAUAAGUCUGUGCCCUGUGCUGCAUAGAGUUAUUCUGUACUGCAAUGCUGGUAUGUUGUGUCAUCUUGUUUUGUUGAGCGAGCGUAGCAGAGGGAUAUGGGAUAAAAGGGUAAAACUUUCCUUACUAAUCCAAGUCUGCUUGUAAUUUCAGACUUGAAUUCCAGUGUUUCCUGGAAUGCAUCUGAAAAGAAACACACUGCUUCAUUUCGCUGCUGAUAAAUUAGUAAUUAUUCUUUUUCCCUACAAACAACAUUGAGUCAGCUAUCACAACCUGGAAAGGGCAGAGCCCACUUUAAUUUUAUUAAGGGUGCAACCUCCUAUCUCCUCAGUGUUCAGCACAGGUCUGUUCUCUGCUCUUUGCCCUGAAAACAGUACGGUAGUUGUGCUAUACUCAGACUAUAUAUAGCACUUAAGAGAUAUCAAGGGUUGACCUUGACCUCAAGCCCUUACAGAUACUUAAGCUUUAAGGAGUCACCUGAUGGAAGGGAACAGAGGCGGUUUAGCCCAUUUGCUUCUUUCUGAAAAUUUUAUUAUCAGUGCUUGAGGAGACACACUGAAUAUCUUUCUAACUGUCGUAUUUUCUAUGCGUUUAUUUAAAAAGCCAAUGAAGACAAUGGGUGCUUUGAUGGUUAUGUUUAACUGUGUUUCUCUGUAUUGAAUGUUUAUUUUGAUGGUGAUUCCCCAUUAACAAUAAAACCUCUUUCCCUCUCAUUUUCUGUACCUAAGCUCUUUAUAAUGAGCGUAAAAACCAGCAAGUUUUUCCCAUUUUUUAGGAAAAAAUUACCAAUACAGUCCUGGAUUACCUGAAGUACAUUGCAAAAUAAACUGCCUAGGAUUGACUUGCAUGCUAUGGGCAUUUGUUGUAAAAGCAAGCUAAGCAAAGUUUAUGCUAUUCCAAGUCUACACAAGAUUUUUUUAAUGCAAAAAUUAUCUCACCAUGAUGUGUGAUAGUAAAAUCAAUAACAACACAGUGCCUUACUCUAGUAAUAAGCUUUCCUACAAUAAUAAGUUCAGUAAUAAUAAGCUUUCAUGGAGAGUGUGUGUGUGUGGAAAUUGGUGUCACAUUGCAGCUGAGACCUGUCUGCCUGCUCUCAGUUGUGUAGUUCCCUCUCCCCAGCUUUUGGCAAUACUCCUUUGAUCACAUGGUAAGCUGACUCAAUUCACUAACCGAGCAAAAGUACGUGUGUGUUUACCUUGAAUAAGCUCAGAGUGCAAGCAGAGAAGUGCCAGAAUUAACAGAAGGUGAAAACAGUGUUUGAUUAGAAAAGGAAGAUGGAGGAAAGAGGAAGUGGGAUCUCUCCUUUUGAGUGAUGAAAAAUGAUUAAUUUGGCUCACUGUAAUAUAAAACCAUAUUUAGUUACACAAGUAGACUGCAAGUACAGUGACUGUUCUGCAGAGACAAGGAUUAUAUCAAU